rnacentral:rRNA from 1 species
AUUGAACGCUGGCGGCAGGCUUAACACAUGCAAGUCGAGCGGUGUGAUGGUGCUUGCACUAUCACUUAGCGGCGGACGGGUGAGUAAUGCUUAGGAAUCUGCCUAUUAGUGGGGGACAACAUCUCGAAAGGGAUGCUAAUACCGCAUACGUCCUACGGGAGAAAGCAGGGGAUCGCUUGUGACCUUGCGCUAAUAGAUGAGCCUAAGUCGGAUUAGCUAGUUGGUGGGGUAAAGGCCUACCAAGGCGACGAUCUGUAGCGGGUCUGAGAGGAGGAUCCGCCACACUGGGACUGAGACACGGCCCAGACUCCUACGGGAGGCAGCAGUGGGGAAUAUUGGACAAUGGGAGGAACCCUGAUCCAGCCAUGCCGCGUGUGUGAAGAAGGCCUUAUGGUUGUAAAGCACUUUAAGCGAGGAGGAGGCUCUUUUGGUUAAUACCCAAGAUGAGUGGACGUUACUCGCAGAAUAAGCACCGGCUAACUCUGUGCCAGCAGCCGCAGUAA